AGCGCACACGGUGGAUGCCUUGGCGGUCAGAGGCGAUGAAGGACGUGGCAGCCUGCGAAAAGUAUCGGGGAGCUGGCAACAAGCUUUGAUCCGGUAAUGUCCGAAUGGGGAAACCCACCCGCUUGCGGGUAUCCUGCAGUGAAUACAUAGCUGCUGGAAGCGAACCUGGUGAACUGAAAUAUCUAAGUAACCAGAGGAAAAGAAAUCAACCGAGAUUCCGUAAGUAGCGACGAGCGAACGCGGACUAGCCCUUAAGCUGAUUUGGUUCUAGGAAAACGCUCUGGAAAGAGCGGCCAUAGAAGGUGAUAGCCCUGUAUCUGAAAGGGCCAUUUCAGUGAAGACGAGUAGGGCGGGGCACGUGAAACCCUGUCUGAACAUGGGGGGACCAUCCUCCAAGGCUAAAUACUACUGACCGACCGAUAGUGAACCAGUACCGUGAGGGAAAGGCGAAAAGAACCCCGGAGAGGGGAGUGAAAUAGAACCUGAAACCGUGUGCGUACAAGCAGUAGGAGCUCCGCAAGGAGUGACUGCGUACCUUUUGUAUAAUGGGUCAGCGACUUACUGUUCGUGGCAAGCUUAACCGUAUAGGGGAGGCGAAGGGAAACCGAGUCUGAUAAGGGCGCAUAGUCGCGGGCAGUAGACCCGAAACCGGGUGAUCUAGUCAUGCCCAGGGUGAAGGUGCGGUAACACGCACUGGAGGCCCGAACCCACUCCCGUUGCAAAGGUAGGGGAUGAGGUGUGAUUAGGAGUGAAAAGCUAAUCGAACCCGGAGAUAGCUGGUUCUCCUCGAAAGCUAUUUAGGUAGCGCCUCAUAUGUAUCCUCUCGGGGGUAGAGCACUGUUAUGGCUAGGGGGUCAUCGCGACUUACCAAACCAUUGCAAACUCCGAAUACCGAGACGGACUGUAUGGGAGACACACGGCGGGUGCUAACGUCCGUCGUGAAAAGGGAAACAACCCAGACCCACAGCUAAGGUCCCAAAUUCACUGCUAAGUGGAAAACCAUGUGGAAAGGCACAGACAGCCAGGAGGUUGGCUUAGAAGCAGCCACCCUUUAAAGAAAGCGUAAUAGCUCACUGGUCGAGUCGGUCUGCGGGGAAGAUUUAACGGGGCUAAGCAGUGAACCGAAGCUUGGGGUGCAUAACUUUGUUAUGCGCGGUAGAGGAGCGUUCCGUAAGCCGUUGAAGGUGGAUUGAGAAGUCUGCUGGAGGUAUCGGAAGUGCGAAUGCUGACAUGAGUAACGAUAAUGCGGGUGAAAAACCCGCACGCCGAAAGCCCAAGGUUUCCUUGCGCAACGUUAAUCGGCGCAGGGUGAGUCGGCCCCUAAGGCGAGGACGAAAGUCGUAGUCGAUGGGAAGCAGGUUAAUAUUCCUGCACCUCGCGUAAGUGCGAUGGAGGGACGGAGAAGGUUAGGUGUACCAGGCGUUGGUUGUCCUGGGGAAAGGCGGUAGGUUUGGAUCUUUGGCAAAUCCGGGAUCCUUUAAGACCGAGCACCGAGACGAGCCUUUAUGGCGAAGUCACUGAUACCACGCUUCCAGGAAAAGCUCCUAAGCUUCAGCUUACGCAGACCGUACCGUAAACCGACACAGGUGGGUAGGAUGAGAAUUCUCAGGCGCUUGAGAGAACUCGGGUGAAGGAACUAGGCAACAUGGCACCGUAACUUCGGGAGAAGGUGCACCCUUUUUGGUGGCUCGUGCGAGCUAUAGCUGAAGAGGGUCGCAGUAACCAGGCCGCUGCGACUGUUUAUCAAAAACACAGCACUCUGCAAACACGAAAGUGGACGUAUAGGGUGUGACGCCUGCCCGGUGCUGGAAGGUUAAUUGAUGGGGUCAGCCGCAAGGCGAAGCUCUUGAUCGAAGCCCCAGUAAACGGCGGCCGUAACUAUAACGGUCCUAAGGUAGCGAAAUUCCUUGUCGGGUAAGUUCCGACCUGCACGAAUGGCGUAACGACAGCGGCGCUGUCUCCACCCGAGACUCAGUGAAAUUGAAAUCGCUGUGAAGAUGCAGCGUUCCCGUGGCAAGACGGAAAGACCCCGUGAACCUUUACUAUAGCUUUACACUGAACGUUGAGUUCGUCUGUGUAGGAUAGGUGGGAGGCUAUGAAACCAUGGCGCUAGCUGUGGUGGAGCCAUCCUUGAAAUACCACCCUGUCGUGCUUGACGUUCUAACCUGGGCCCAUUAUCUGGGUCGGGGACCGUGUAUGGUGGGUAGUUUGACUGGGGCGGUCUCCUCCUAAAGAGUAACGGAGGAGUACGA
rnacentral:rRNA from 1 species